AAUUGGGACUUUUUGUUCUUCUAUAAAUAGAACCCACUCUCUUCAUUUUUCAUGAGGGUUGAGAGGCCAAAAAAUUGGUCUUUACACCUCAAAUAGGUUUUUGACAACCCCAAGAGCUUGAACACUCAAAAAACUCGGCUAAGCCUUGAGUUUAGAGGAAGUUCUUAAUCAAAGUUAAAUUUUCGGUCUUUUCCAAUUCGUCGGAAUAGUUUAUUUGGGUGAAAGGUGAUUGACUCAAUUCUCGUCACCCCCGUUGCUGCUCGGCAAAAAGAUCUGAAGAACUAGAAGUUUAAGGUUUUUUUAGAGUUUGGAGAUGGAGAUGGUAGUAAUAGUGGUGGUGGUGGUAGUGGUGUUGACGGUGGCGUGGGUGGUGUAGAUAGAGAAGGGAUGGAGGGGUACGUGAGGGGAAGAAGAAUAGAGGCUGGAGAUAGAGAAAGGGAGGGAGCGAGGCGGCAGUGAGGGGAAGAGGAAAGAGGAGAGAGAAUUUUUUUUUAGAGUUUGGAGAAGAUGAUAAAUCUUAAAUGUGUAGUGAGGGAGAAUAAAGAGGUACAUGUAUUUCAAAAGUUACUGGACCAGUUAUGAAAUGUAAUUUUGGAAAAAUAAAGCUACAAAAAUUAAUAAAAAAUAAGGUAGUUAUUAUUUAUAAAUAAGUCUUAGAGGUAGCUAUGACAGGUAAAUUUUCCAAUAUUUACUUAUGUAUUUUUCUAUUGGGCUUGGUUGGCCCAAUUCCCUACUCUUUAUAUUAUUUACUUGAUUAUAUAUAUGUAUGCUUGUUGGAACCCUGAAUGAGAUUAUCAUGCCUAAGAGUUGCUAAAAUUGAUUUUCAAAAUUAAAAAAAAAAAAAAACAAUUAGGCAAAUUUAGGAUUGCAGAUGAUUUUGAGGAUUUUGGAUACUUUUGAUGUGAUUUUGGACUUAUAGGCAAACUUUAAGACUAAUAUGAUUGAUUUGAAACUUGAGUUGGAAAAGAUGUUUUGUUAAACUUGGAUUAUCAUUUUGGGUGAACUGUUUUGACUAUUAAAAAUGCUAAUGAGUUAACUUUGAGACUUUUUGUGAAGAUUAAAACAAAGAAUUGGAUAAAAGUUCUAAAAAUAUGGCUAACCUAUGGAGUAUAUUAGUAUGCCUAUAAAAACUAUUUUCAAAAACUAUUUUCUAUACUUAAAAAUAUUUUUUCUAAAAAACCUUUUUCUAAACUCGGGUGGGCUUACAUAGUGUUUUGCUUGGGUUAACGCCUUCGGGUUUUAACCUAGGUGUUCUAGUCCAAAAUCCAAAAAAGGCUCAAUUUUGGGCAAAACUCUACCAUUUUUCGUUUCUUGAAAAUGAGUGUUUUUGGCAUGAAUAACUAAUUUUCUAUUUGCGGAAAUAUGAAACAAAAACUGUUUUUAUCGCAAGUAAUUUAUAUCUACAAAGGCAUACUAUUAGAAUCCGUAGGUCAAUCGUAUUUCACGGAUCCUUAAUACCGGGGUGCCUAACACUUUCUUCGGAGGAUCACCAGAACCCUUACCCAUACUUUGGUUAGAUUAGGAUUAUUUUAAAAGUUAACCAUUUUAAAUGAACCCUUUUCGAAUUGGUUUUCCUAAUUUCCUAAAAAUUAUGUGGCGACUCUAAAACAUUAUCCAUUUAGAGUACCACGUAAUAGUAUCACCUCAACUUUAUCUGAGAAAAUUGCUUGAAUUCUCUCUUCUUCUUUUUUUCUUUUUCUGUUUAAACGAUCAGCGAAGUACAAAUAAUUUCUUAUAAGCGGUAUCAGUAAAAUAAGCGAUAUAAUCAAUAGAUCGAAGAUAAAAUUCCGACAUUUUUAGUAAAACACUCAAAUAUAUAACUACAACUCUUCUCAAUAAUAAGUUUUCAUUUCUAAAGAUAUAUUUUCCUCCUUAAACAUGAAAAAAAGAAUUAUUCUUACACUUUAUUUGUAAAUCAAGUUAUUCUGUUUGGUGAAAACAAUCUAACCAACGAGUUGUUUUUAAACAACCUAAUCUAAACGACACUGCAAAACUUAUUUCUAAACAUAUUUCUCAAACAUAUUAAUUAGAACUAAAUCUUCUGAAAGUUACUUUACUUUCUUAUUUGAUUUUGUAUGACACUUUUUUCAUGCUAGUCUGAUCCGUAAAGAUUAAUAUCUUUUAGUAUUUGAAAACUAUUUAAUCUAAAAGUUCACAUAUUAAAUAUAGUGGCAUGACUUGUUGGGAUCUUAUUUACUAAAUAUAACACUUGUUUGUUGUUAGUACAUAAUAAGAUGAAGGGAGAUAUGGAACUCUUAGCAUCUCAUUUACUUGUGUCGAUCGGUAGUAAGAAUAAUUUUGAUACUUUGCAUAUACUAAUUGAUUUAUGUGUUAAAUGUCUUCUUUUAACAUAUUAUUUAGCCAAUGGAGUAGCAUUUUAAAUUAAUCUGUCUUCAUCUAAAACUGUCUUCUAAUUACCACUGUCUGCAGCAUAUUGGCUGCAUAUUGCCUUACUUCAAGCAGUUGUCAUAACUUAUAUGGAUGUCUUAAUCAAUAAACAUAUACUAUAUCAUCAAAAUGAUAUCUUCCUAAGAUACUCUUCUAGAGGAACCAAGUCAAAUCAUCUACCUCAGCUGUCAUAGUACUCUAAAAAAGUUCAUAAACGUUUUUUCUAACUUCAACUUCAAUUUUUUUUCUUCAAUUUCAACUUAAAUAUAUCUUCAAAAUACCUACUUAUUAUAACUAUCCAAAUACAAUUUCUACUUCACAAAAAAAUAAAAAUAAAUAAAACUUCAGCAUUGGAUAUUGUUCCUAUAUACUGGUAUAUCUUAUAAUCGGAAAAGAAUAUUUAGAGAGAGGAAAAAAAAAUCUCUUAAACUGUGAUAUUGAUAUAUCAUUGAUCAAUUUAGUUCUCAUCCACUUUGCCACUUGCUUCACUCACUCGGAAAACAGAAAUUGCAAAAUGAAGGAUAUAGUUGAGUAUUCUUACAGAAUAAAAUAAGAUUUUGAUAGCGAUAGGCUAUCAAUAUUCUGAGUAAGUAAAGUUAAACAAGAAAAGGAGAAUCCAACGGUUGAGGAGCAAUCAUCCCCGGUGACACGGUGCUCGCCCAGUACUUGGGAAUCUAACCCAAUUAUAUGCAAGGUCUAUUUCAGUCCUUAUUAUACGAA